GACGAACGCUGGCGGCGUGCUUAACACAUGCAAGUCGAGCGGUAAGGCCCUUUCGGGGGUACACGAGCGGCGAACGGGUGAGUAACACGUGGGUGACCUGCCCUCAGCUCUGGGAUAAGCCCGGGAAACUGGGUCUAAUACCGGAUAUGACUCCAUGACGCAUGUUGUGGGGUGGAAAGCCUUGUGCGGCUGAGGAUGGGCCCGCGGCCUAUCAGCUUGUUGGUGGGGUGAUGGCCUACAAGGCGACGACGGGUAGCCGGCCUGAGAGGG
rnacentral:rRNA from 1 species